AGGCCAUCAGCAGCUCUGAGUCAGCCAGCACAGCUGAACUGAGUUGCAGGCAGCUGUACCCCAGACCAUGAGCAUCACAAACAGUAUAAAGGGGAAGGUUUGAGGAGGGGAGAGCCUUCUGCUGGAGCUUGCUGCUUGAGUUCCUCUUCCUCCUCCUGCUCUUGAGGAUGCUGUUCCUGGCUCAAGCUUGCUCUGAUGGUGAACAUGAAGCCAAACCAGCACAAGGCAGGACUGGAGCUGCAAACAUCUGGUCCAGCUCAGCUCUACUGGGAUCUCAUCUGCACUACACCUGAGGUAGAUCCUCCUCCAGAGAGCCUUCCAUCAUCCUGCCUGGGAGACAACCUAUUGCCUGGCUCAUGUGUGGCUUCCUUUCUCUUCACCAUCUCCUGGAGAGCAGGAGUUGGGUGCAUGGUGGAGAUACCAACCCCAAAGAGGAUGAGCCUUGUUCAGCUUCUAUAUUCCUUUCUGUAGUCCUAACUUCAGCUUUCCCAGCUUGAAUGGGAUAAAACCCAAGUCCAGACUAGCUGGAGGGACCACCCCAAGACUUUUUGGUCUCAGAGUGUCUCUUGCUUGCUCAGAGCAGAGGCCAAGCAGGGAGCAAAGCUAGGAAGAAAAAGCACCUCAGGAGGUCAUGGCUGAGGUUUCUUUUUUCCUUCACUUAACUCUGAAGUAAAACUACAUC